GACGAACGCUGGCGGCGUGCUUAACACAUGCAAGUCGAACGGAAAGGCCCUGCUUUUGUGGGGUGCUCGAGUGGCGAACGGGUGAGUAACACGUGAGUAACCUGCCCUUGACUUUGGGAUAACUUCAGGAAACUGGGGCUAAUACCGGAUAGGAGCUCCUGCUGCAUGGUGGGGGUUGGAAAGUUUCGGCGGUUGGGGAUGGACUCGCGGCUUAUCAGCUUGUGGGUGGGGUAGUGGCUUACCAAGGCUUUGACGGGUAGCCGGCCUGAGAGGGUGACCGGCCACAUUGGGACUAAGAGACGGCCCAGACUCCUACGGGAGGCAGCAGGGGGGAAUAUUGCACAAUGGGCGGAAGCCUGAUGCAGCAACGCCGCGUGCGGGAUGACGGCCUUCGGGUUGUAAACCGCUUUCGCCUGUGACGAAGCGUGAGUGACGGUAAUGGGUAAAGAAGCACCGGCUAACUACGUG
rnacentral:rRNA from 1 species